UUAUUCUUACUUCCUUGACUUUGAGUGUAAUAAGUACUCCCCUUUGUUUCUCCUACUAGGUUUCGAGGAAGGCAGGAUAGAUAAGCUAGGAUUAGAUGUGUCAUUUAGUCGAAGAGGGUAAGAUAUUGCCUUUAUGCCUGCGCUUUCAGCAAUACAGGUGCUUCCUUGCCUCCCUUUCCGUUUCCUAAGGACUGCCAGCUUUCUUGUUUGUGAUUUCCUUUUCUUAAGUAGUAGACUGAGUCAGAGGAGGAAGUCGUUGGGUGGAGAGGUCCGGUCUCUAGCGUCCUAUCUUAUGUCCGAAUUCUUUCUCUCUGUUAAUUGUCCUCUCGUCCAGUUGCUCAAGAUAGAUAAGCAAGGAGAACUUUGAUUCAGGUAACUCUAUGUUGCUCCGGUUAGUUCUGUUCUGUAAUCAACUACCUGGGUAAAGUAGCUCCUGUCGGUUUAGAGCAAGCAAAGAAAGCUCAGAAUAGAUUAGAUCGAUCAAGACUAGUAGUUAGUUGUUCCUACUUACCUGACUUGCUAGUAGGAAGCGAUGCUAUGGAACCAACCUAAUCCACUCUCGUGACCAUGAUCGAAGAUCAAUCCGGGGAAAGAGAUGAGCUUAUAUAUGAAAAGCUACCCGUAUUUACACAUACGAGGAAUCACUCACUAACGGACAAGAGAGCGACAAAUGAGCUUUCAAAAGUGCAAAACGAAAGGGUUGGUAGCUUUCGGCCUUAUUGAUCCAAUCACUCUUUGAGACUACUGCUUGUGCUUGGCUCAGCAUAGCCUUCUUUUUGAAAAGCUGACUGCUCAAGUAAAGUGAGGAAAGCGAAAAGCUGACUGCUCAAGUAAAGUGAGGAAAGCCUGAUCUGAUUUGGAAUCCUUUUUCAACGCCUUCUUUCCUGAUCGAUUCUUAGGGGAAUCGUAGGCCAAAAAUGGAUUCGUCAACGGAGGAUGCCUUUCAAGGAAAAAGUAACGACACCGCAUUCCCACACUUUCUCAUCUGUUUCAUAGAGGAGUGAGGCUGGCUAAAGCACCAAAACCAAUAGUUAGUAAGAGAGCGCCAUCAGGAUAAAGAUCAAAAGGGGGGGCUCUAGAAAAGAUGCCUUGAAGAGUGAAAAUACCGUAAGCGCCCAACUUCCACACAUCGAAAUAGACAGGUGAUCCUGCACGCCUAACCUAACUUUCAUGCACGGAAUCAACUGUGAUCGAAUAAGCUUUUUUAGGUAAUGAAGCCAGGUACUGAUUUGGGAAGUAACUGAACUUACUUAAUCUCCCUUAGGGAUUCGAGGAGCAGAAGGCUUACUAAGGAAAGCUAAUGACAUUGUUAAAGAGUAGGCAGAGAAUGUGCUGUUGUCGCAUGAAUAGGAAUAGGUUGUUCAAGAAUAAUUGUAAGACUCGCAAUUGAAUCAACUUCUCUUUCAUUCCUAAACGCUGCAAAAGAAAGACGUAACCGGUGUUCCACUUAUAAGGUUAACUGCUCUCGGAGUCCUAGCCGCUCUUGGCACUGAUUCCUUUCAAGUUAUGCCCUUAUGCCCGAUCCAAAUAUGCAGGGAGGUUUUCCUCGAAGAGAAGCUCUAAUAGUAGUAUGCGGACUCAUACUCAUCCCAGUGAGAGUGCAGGAAUAUAAUAAGAUGCUCUUUCAUCUCUUUGCAAUAGAUUGUGUUCAAAUAGCCUGGGCUCAGCUCCUGCCGUGCAACGACUGACGCACAAUAGAAAUCAAUUAUGUUGUUUUGAUUAUUUAUGUUGUGCUUUAGUGUCUUCUUGUCGUCUUGUCUGCUUGCCCCCGUCUUUGCAAUAGAAUGACUAACUGCUCUUGCUGCUAUUUCAUCAUCUGUGGCACUGACUUUAGGAAUCCCAGGGGCGGUGCCUAGCCUUUGCACAUGAAGGCCUUCUUCUCUAGCCUGAUGCGGGCGAUUCGAGUCAUCGAGAUAAUAGAAGUGAAUACCAUACAAUUGACUUGACUUGAAAUAUACUAUAUUGUGUUUUUAUAUACAAAUAGGUUUCUUUAACAGGAAGUGAGAGUGAGUGUCACGCGGAGUUACGCUUUGGUUAGGCUUGACUUGAUGAUGGGUUACAUAUAGAAGGGCUUAGUUAGCUAUGGAAUCAGAAGCAACUCCGGGCAGAUGGGAUGCCCCAAAAUAAGGCUUAUGCAACUCGAGCCCAGGCUUACUUGGCUUACUUGGCGCUCCAGAGACCAAAUCCUUUGUUUACCACUAGAAUUAGUAAGUUCAUUCUUUGACCGCAAUCCGAUCCUAUAGACUCAAUGAUUUUCAGGACUUGGUCAAACAACUAAGCUUGGUCUUACUACGUAGCUUGGCUCCUCAUCCUAUCUUCUCUAUCUAGCUCCCCUGAUCAUUCGUAUAAGUCUGGAGUAAAGAUGAUUCUUCUCUCUCUUUAAUAACCUAAUAAUAGAAUGGAUUAUUCCCUCCUUGGCUCUCAUUGAUUGUUUUUGCAAUACCCGACCCGACCGAAACAAAUACUUCUUUUAUAUCUCUAGCUCAUAUACUUAUCCGUAGUCAACUAAAUCCAUUCCCACUUUCACUACUUAGUUCAAUAGAAUUCAACUCACUCACCAAAACUUGAUAGCAAAGAUCUUAUUGCCCCAAUUCCCCUUAGUACUGAGUCUAGCUCCUGUACUUCUGGCUACAACUACUUAUGAAACUACGAAACUACGAGUUUGGGCUGUAACCCAGGGCUACUACUACUGUACUGGCACCCGAAACUAUACUUGAAACUAUACUUUCUACUGGCUCUUCUCUAACUGCUGACCUUGCAGACCUCGACUCAAGUCCUUUCUUUGUAGUUGUCGACUUCACUACUUCCCGCCUCAAAGCCUUAUACUUACUAGUGAGAUUCUCAAAUUCCAUUACUAGAUGCGCUUACUGCCGCUACGCAUUAGUGGUUACUUGUCUGGGCAUAACCAGUGUAUUUACUCGGUUCUCUACCAAAAGUGGAAACAGAUUCUUCACCGGAACCUCUCUCGUCGACAACACAAUCAUAAACUUCAACUCAAGCUAGAGGAUACCAGGGCAAAGGGCUGUAAACCCAGAUUGUAUGAAUUGCCUUCCCCUCUUUGCCUUUAGAACGGGAACUGGUGAUUCGAUUCUCUUUCUUACUUAACAGCUUCCCUGGCCUACCUCUGCUCUGUCAACAAUACCUUCAUUCUGACUUUCACUUAUGGGCAUGCGAAACAAUAAAGUUCGAAUUUAGCUCCUUCUCGCCAACCCCAGUGCAACUCAUAAGUAAGAAGGAUACAACUACUAAUAAGAGUAAGAAGGAAACAAGCAUGACUUGAAACCCACAUAUUGUGCAGAAGACUUAGAAUUCCACUCAGUAGUAUAAGAAUGAAACCGAUACUAAUAAGAAGAAGACCGGUCCCUUUGUUUUAGUGACUGGACUCAGAGCCAAGCAACGACAUAAGACGUUGUGCGGCAGCCAUAGCCAUGAAAUAGUGAAGUUAUAUUUAGUUAGAACCGCCAAGACACUGGGCAAGUAACUACGUCAGUUACGCGGGCAGCUAUGAAUACUAUUGAUAUAGGAUUUGGAGGAUGAAACUCUACUGUCAUUGCAGCCCUUAACCGCACUGCUUCUUUCUGCUCGAGUCGACAACUAAGGUAAACAAUGACCUAUCCCCCUAUACAAGGAGCUAGAGCCAAGACUAUAAGUCCUUUCUCCACGACCGACGUAAACAACAGAGGAAACUACUGCUCUGAAAACGAAAACAGCUGACUAGGAAUAUGGCCCCGUAUCUAUACCCAGGCUAACGUAAGCUUACUUUUCUUCAGAUCAAGACUUGGAGCCAAGAACUGAUCUCACUGCUUAUGAUCCUGAUCUUUCAACUUGAACUACACUUCCUGUUAGCAUAGCACACUCUGUAAACUCCCAAUCUAUCUUCUCUGGCAACUGACACUUCUCCUCUUGCAACUAGCUACUAGCAACUACACUGGAAACUUUACCACUACACUACUAUAAGGGAUGGGCAUUUCUACUAGUUUGGGCUGGAAACCUUAACUACUCUACUGGUAUUCAACUAGCACCAGAACAGGACAACUACUUUACUUAAAGGAAGGGGCAAUAACCAUACUUUCACAGCUUACCAAGCCGACACCUCUCAUAACCAUACUUUCGAACUGGAACAAGUCAUUCCACAAGAAAUACAGAAUACAGCGGGCUCUGGCUCUUACUAGCUCAACUCUUUAACUCUAGCUUAGCUCUACUCUCUACAACUACUGGCUAAGAAUUCCACCACUAGUAAGUAAACUACCCGACCCUCCGCCAAGUAAGUAAACCACCCGACCCUAGUACGAACUCUUUGGGAGCCCUCAUUUCGCCUAGAAGUAACUACAACUACAGGUAUUCACCAACAACAAGAAAAGUACUGGCAACCGAAACUCCCCUUUCUUGACUUCCCCAUAAGACUUCUGGCUACCCUUUCUUUACUUCCCCGACUAGACCUCUGUUAUUGAUUACUUGACUAGCUGCCCUUUAGCGCUACUUACUAUGUUACUUGGCCCGAGCUCUAAGUGCUGUUUUUAUUCUGAUUACUCUUCCCCAGUAGCUGGGAAUCGGUGGUACUGGUUCCAUUCUGUCGAGUAGUGGUUGCAUUCUGGUUAGCACUAGCAUCAAGUCCGAUUAGCUCAGGUUGAAGUCUGACUGAACUGCUUAGCUGCUACGUGGGCAUGAGCACUCUGCUUGGCUCCUACUUAAGAGUAUCAUUCUGACCUAGCCCACAACUAUUGAAGAGUAUUCUCCUUUCCUUGGCACUGACUCAGAUCCAGCUACUGAUCUUAUAGAUUCAAUAAGAACAGGAUAUUCUCCACUGUAAACUGGAACAGGCCGACAAGGAGCUACUACAGCAUCAACACUGGAACCGACUCACUACAAGCAGACAGCUUUCAAGUAUGGGCAAGUACCGUAUUUUGAGUUUCAAUAUAAAUAGAAGAUGGAUUAGUUUACUCGGCGCGGAAGGGAAGAGAUAGAUCCAAUUCUGAACUUGAAGUAUGGGUUGGGUCGGGAAGCUAAGGGAUGCAACAAGAACAGAAAUCUACUUUUUACCAAAACCCGUGUUUUUUAAUAGCCAAGGGGAGCUCCUGCCGCGGUUUUAACUCGCUGACGCGACACAUUAGUAGUGUCUUGUCUAGUAGUUCCUUGGCCCGCUAAUAGAUCACCAGAUUUCAAUGAGCUUUUUCCGUUUUCCCGUGUUUUUUCAUAGCCAAGGUAAUUUCCCUCCUGGACCGAUCUAUUUCCAUGAUCUUUUCACGUUUUACCGUGAAACAACACUGCCGCGUAACAUUCUGUUCCUUGGCGGGUAGCAAUCAGAUUUCCCCUGCUAAAGGGUUCCAUUUCUCCUCUUUUUUUCAUAAACCCCGUGUUUUUUCAUAGCAAAGCUUACUUCCUCUAGCUCUUUGAACUCCAACAAAACAGGAUUUCUUUCCCACUCUUGACCUUCCCUUCCUUAACUUGGCUUUCGAACCUAGACAAUUAAGUACUACUUUCCUAGAGAAUUAGUAGAGCUAGAGCAACAACUAGAGCUAGAGCACCAACCUCUUCUCUUAGCGCCUAAGCUUGUUCUUCACUUUCUAUUAUUAAGUAAGGCAACUCCCUUUCCAUACUUUAGAACCAGAACAGGACCACUACCCGCGCCCAGUAUAAGUAAGUAAACAAGCCUAGCCUAACAAGUCAGUAAACUAAGUAAGUAAACUAAGUAAGUCAACAACACUACCCGAGUAAGUAAACAAGCCGAUCCCUAUUAACUUCUUUCAACAAGCCCAGCAGCUGGCAACCGGAAUAGCAAACAGUCAAUAUAUUCUAACUAGUUGUUCCGAGUCCUAAUUCCAAGGCGUCAGGGCCUCUAGUGUUUCCUGGCAACUACUAAAAGCACCAAUUACCCUAAGCAGAAUCGAGACCUCACCACCCGCUAUAGAACUCAAAAGGGCUGUUUUUGUCUACGUUGCUUGUAUAGUAGUUACUUGCACUUAUUAACGCAGCUUGCCUAUGAAACAUCCUGUCCCAGAGAGUGGCUUUGAACCUGUAUUGAUGUUAGGAAAAAUGCCAUAGAACAGCUGAGAAAGGCGGAGAUAGUUGAUUCACAAAGUUAUUAGUCAAUUCCAUUCAAGUUGACCAGAGAGAGAGGAUCGGUGCUUAAUCCUUUAGGGGAGAGUUCGGUGCUCUAGCUCCUUUCCUUGUAUAGGGCAGAGGUGAUUGUGUUGGUGACGCUGGCAGAAGAGGAUUGAGCUGGGCAUAAUAGAGUCAGACUUGCUUUAGUUGCUAGCCCUUACUAUUAAAGGUUAACUCCUUCUCUUACCCUGCCUUAGUAGCUUGUCGACUUGGCCCUUAGUGACUUGGCCAGCAUAUAGGGCAACUCAGUAGUGAGAGUCGGAAUUGACUAAGGAGUUACAGGCUUAAACAAGUACAACUCAGAAUAGACUAGUGAACAGAAAGACUCAAACAAACACCGAUCAGACUCAAGUCAGCUACUAAGACACCUAACAACGCGACUGAAACCAGUAACAACUAGAAUGCAACUGGCAACUAGCAGGCUGAAACAAGUGCUAACCGGAAUCGAACUACUAACAACAGGACUACAACCAGUGCCACUAAGCCUUAAAAGCACUAACUCCAAGAUUGAAACCUGUGGGAGCUAUACUGGAACCACUAACAACCCGACCCGAGUCAAAGAAUUCCACCAGCCUGGUAUAUAGAAGAUAAGAUCAAAUGCAUUCUUUGUUUUCAUAGGUGCCUUCCCGCUCUAACAGAUUGCUUUGGGUAGCCUUCUUCUCGAAUUGAAAGAGCUGGAUCGGGAUCAUAACCCCUAUUUCUAGAAGUUGAACCACCAAGCCCCUACUCAAAUGAGGCUCUCUUCUCUUUAUAUUGGUUUCGGAGCUGCUCCUGCUGAUUCUACCUUUGAUGCCAAAGGAUCAGGUACUGGCUUUGAUGCCAUAAGUUCAUGAGUUGGCGAAAGGGGUGUCGCGGGAAGGGGAAUCCUCAAGAAUUAUUGUUACCCCCCGCUCCCUAUAAUAGUGGAAAAACUGUCGUCAACUGAUUGGUCCAACAAGAAAAGAAUUAAGAGCUAGUGAGGAAGCGGGAAUCGAAGUUGUAUCAGAAGCUGGAAGUAAAGGCUUUUUAGCGAGGUGUACUAAUGAGGGUGUAGUUAGCAGAGAUGAGCCAGUACUUUCGCAGUUUCACCCUGACUUUCUUUCUUUCUUUGUCUUUGAAGACCUGAUUGAGAGGAUAGGCGGGCAACCAAGGAAAAGAGGCUAAAUCUAAAGAAUCCCAGUUUGUUAGCCAAAGGCGAGCAGUAACGCAGUGUUCGAACAAGCAAGGAAGGGGGAGGGAAUAUAUAAUCAAUCCAAAAGUGAACAAGCCGACUCUACGGAAGGAAUAUGCUUAGCGCGCAGAACUCGCUAACUCCACUGAGCUUCCAAUCAUAAAUGAGUAUUGGUGGGGUAAGGGAAGAUUAUCUCAAUGCGCGCGUCGUGGUCCAAGCAUUCAAGGCUGGUCUUGUCUUCAAGGGGAGUUUUGGUCGGGGAAUAAUAAUAAAGUGACAUUUUCGUUUUCAGAUCAAGAUCGGAGGCCUGAAUAGAAGAUGGAUCUGGAGAUAAAGCUUUAGCUGUAGAAAGGUUAAGGGCAGAAGCGUUUCGUAGAGUUCUUGUUUCAUCCUAGUCCACUUCUGAAUCCGCAGUAAGAGAAUCCGCAGUGCCCGGAAAGUAGUAUAGAAUGAGGCCGUGAUAGCCUUAAACGAUAAAGAAGCCCAACUCUAUAUCCGCGUCAACAGAUUGUGCGGGCCUACUAGACCUGGCGCUCGCUCCAAUUAGGACUUGCUACGGAAACUCAAUUAAGAAAUGACCUUUAACACCGAGAUACAGAAUGGAACUUGAAAACACCUCUAAUUACUGUAUCCGUAGUAGGAGAAGUAUCAAUAGAUGUAUAAGGAGUAGGAACAGACUCAGUGGCUAAAGUUCAAUGGAAAAGGGAAGCAGUGUAUUUCUCUUUACUUAUACCAGAAGCUCGAGAGUGAAAUUGAUAUUCAUGAGUAGCGCCCGUGGAGGGAGUCCCUUGUUUAAAGUCACGUUCGAAAGGAAUCUUCAAGUUCCGUUGAGUGGGGGUAUCUUAUCGAAUAAGUAAGUAUAGAAUCAGAGGCGAAACCAGUAGUAAGAGAAUCCGCAGUGAACUAGGGAAGUCUCCAAAAGAGGAAUCCGUUGUCGUUUUGUCAACAAGAUCAGGAUCCGUUCUCAAGUCAGCAACAGCAAAAGACUCCGCUGUAUCAGUUUCAAGAUCCGAAGCAAGCAGGAUAAGAUCUUUCUUAUGCCCCUUUGACUUUAUUCUUCCCCGAUAACUACACUUUAAACAAAUCAUUCCACUUGCUGCUGCCCUUACUUAUAUUAGGCUUGAUCAAGCAUCUAUCUAAUCUAGCUUACUUACCUAAUUCUAUAUGAUACCUAUAUCUUUCAACAAUAACUCAAAGGUAAUAACCGCUUGCUCCUUAACUCUUACUUGUCUAGCCUGUUUCCUUGUCCUUUUUUAGAGUAAUGUUUCCGGGUUCCAGAAGCAACAGCUAAAGUCAAACAAUCAUUUCUUACUGAAUUCAUUCAUAGAAUCUCAAACAAUCAUUUCUUAUCUUACUACUUCAUAUAAUAAUCUAGGAAAGUAACAGAGCAUUGCCAACUUGAUCUUAUCCUAACGCCGAAGACAGGAAUUGACCUAGAAACUCCCGAAAAUCGGAAUCUUUCUUUUGAGCGGUCAACGUAAACAAAUAAGAAAACCCACUCUCCCUGGCGCCACAGCUUAUGCUUCCGCGGAUGCUUAUGACUAAUAGCCAGUACUCUUUGGAUUCAAGUCGAACAGAACUACUUGUUGCUGACUUUGGCAGAGCUUCCUCUCUCUCUUACAAAGGGAAAAAGUCAAGUCAAACAAAGAAUUCCAAUAAGGCGUAUGAAGCACCACUUACUUAAUCUAUAAGAAAGUCACUGGUCACCUCAACUUCACUUUAAGAACAUUGUCUUUCGUCGACAACACAAGCAUCGAACCUAGCCUGCGCAGGAGCAAGAAGUCAUCAAGUGAAAGGACUGGGCGAUUAAGAACCAACCCCUACCCCUAUGUCUUGUUAAUACAAAUGCGCCCUUAACUACAAGGAAGCCUUAAAUAAGGCCUUUAUGAGUCGUUGAACAGAGGUUUCAUGGAGCUAAUGGCAAAUUACCUAUCUUGUACACUUACAGUAGUUCUAAUGCAUUCAUUAUUUGAUUAUAACCGCGGUAGGAGAGUGAUAUUUCUCUUAGCCCUAUCCUUGCUCAUACUUUCUUUUUACCUUGAGCACUACGUUACGUGGACAUUUUCUUCUCGAGUCUAUUAUUCUUCUGUAUAGUGUAGGGGGCAACAGAUUGUCCUGGUUACCGCUUUGACACCGCUGAUUCCAUGUAGGAUGACAGUCUCACUUCUACACUCGCUUCAGCAGUUUCUCAUUCCAUUCCACAAUUCUAUUCUUCCUUUUGAUAGGCCAUAUAGGGAAAAACAACACUCUUUUGCGUCGCCUAUCCUUUUGAUUCAUAAGCUUCUGUAACGGAACUCGUACUCGUACAUUUGCUUCAAUCAAAUAAUCUUUAUCGGCAGCCCGCCCUUCCUUUGCUUUUUGAAUGAAACUCGAUUGUAGUAGACCGCGCAGUUCUUAGUGUUCUAGAAAGAAUAGGUUUUGUUUAACAAUCCGUUCUCGCACCGGUAAGAUACGAGUGAGAAACCCCUAAAUGAACACUGCUGAUUCUGUUGAAACUGCUUAUGCAUAUGCUGAUGACUUAUAAACUCCUUAACGCAUUUGUUUCUUGCUUAGUUACCUUGUGUUCGAAGCAAGCCCUAGUUAUAGUUCUUUUGCCGACCUCGACUGCUUACUUUAGUCUUACAAGUCCUUUCUUCAGCCGUUUGAUGCUUACUUGCCUUGAAACCUCACAGCUUACUUGCGCCUUUACUUAAUAGCUAUUUCGGAUUAUUCUUAUGUAGAGUUGCAGACUAGGAUGACUUUCUAGUUUAGAGAAGAAGCUUUUUGAGUAUAAAGGAAAGGAAUAGUCUCAAGGUUCGGUUCAGUUCCAGGAAAGUAUCAAGAUGUUGGCGACGAGCCGAGUAGUUCAUCAAAGAAAAGAGAGUGAGAGUUUCCGUUUCGUUCGGAACUUCCAGUGCUUUUCCAGAUUCAAGUCGAGUUCAAGAAGCCCUUCCACUUGUUUGAAUUGAAAUAAAUAAGUAACAUAUGAGAUAAUAAAGUAUUCAAAAGAAAGCUUGACUCAACAAGCAACGUAGAAAGUAUAGCUUGUUCCCCAAAACUCACCUAUUACUGCUUGCUCUGCUCGGACCCUUUCAUAGAGAGAGCAUUGAUGUCGUCCACCCUUGAUUUUCUAUACGAGACUAAGAGCUGUAGUCGGGCCAUUGUGAGGGUAAACUAAUACGGACGUUGCUUGUUCGAACUCAUAACUCUGUUCGUAUACUAGGUGAGCACUUAGGCUUUCGAAACUCCACCUCCACUCAACAACGUACUCAGGCGAAAUCCAAUCUCAAAUAAAUCAAAUGUUCCAUAAUUGAGUAAAACCACUGCAUACAUAAAAUCACUACCGCUAUAGAGUAGUCGAACUCCAAGAAUAUUACUUACAUAAAGAUAAUCUCUCUAGUAUCAUGUACUCUAGUAGAAUGUAUAGAAAUUGGAACCGAACUAGCUACUCCAAUAAGCUGCUUAUGCGCCCUAUCUUCUUAUUCUUUCUGUUCUGCUACCCCCCAUUUGAAUAAAACGAAAUCUCACUGACAACAUCUAUAAGCGCUAUACCAUACUGCGAAACUUCCAUCACCUAUUACAGCUGGCUCUAAAUCAGAGGCACAUCCCCAAUAAUAGAAUGGAGUCAAAACCCUGUUGACAUCUUACAUAGCAAAACCUCACUGCAUGUUUCUGGCGCCGUUCAUCUGUUUAGUGAGUAAAGCAUUAAACAUAAACCAAUGUAGGGGUGGGUAGGGAGAGUGUGAAGUCCCCAAAGUAUUGAGAAUGAAAUCCUUUAUAUAGUAUAGAAAUAAGUCCCCAAGGUAUUGAUAAUGAAAUCCAGAAAGAGAAUGAAAUCCUUUAUAUAGUAUAGAAUAUUCAAGUAAACAAACAGAACAAGAAGAGGAAGAGAAUUGAGGCCUUGUUGGUCCCGAUUAGGAUUGUGAAUUGAGUGAGGCCUUGCUCCAGCGAAUUACUAACAACUAGUGGCUUGUUCCCUGCAACUCUAUGAGAUCUAUGAUCCUCCAAAGGUAUAAGGCCCCUUCCAAUAAUCAGCGGUAGCAAGAUUGGACUGAGGACGGACCGCGUGUCCAACAUUUCUCAAUGGCCAGCUUGAAUAUUGGCAAAAUGUUCCAUAUCUCCAUUCUACCUUGACUUUUGUCUGUCGAGUUACUUCGUUCCUCCUCUGACUUUAUUGAAAUAUAGUGAGUCAAAUAUAAUGUACCCUUGCAUCCAAAUCUGGCACUACAUAACAAGUCAAUAAAAGCAGAAAAUACCGUAUGCAUAUUAAGGUGUGAAAGGAGUCUCUAAAAAGCUUCGUAGCCAUCAUAGCUUAGCGAGACUAAUCGCGCUUGCGAGAGAGCAUCGAGUGGGUUUACUUUAAGCUGCGAGUGCACAAGUGGGUUACUUUAAGCAGCGAGUGGGCUGGUAUUCUUGUAGAUGGGGGAGCCGUACCUUAUAAUCAAAAAGAAGGAUGUUGUGGCGUCAGAUGAUUGAGAAAGCAUCCGAGUAGAGCUUAGUUGUGACACCGGACGAGUUGAUAAAUACACACUGGUUAUGAAGGAACUAGCCGUGAAGGUGGGUGGGUUCCCGAGCAAUCAUCAUACGAAAACGAAAACCGCGUUUGGUGCUUGCGCGCGUGAGAUGAGAUCCAGUAAGCUAUCUAUAUAUAGAGAGAGCCAGCUGGGUAGUUUUGCCUCAUUAGGGAGGAAAGAUGCGCAUGAAGAAGCAAGCGGGAUUAAGCAGAUGCGCUAAGAAUAGAUGAAGCAAAGAUGGAUCCGCGCUUAGGGCUAGGGCUGUUAUUGGUCGAACUCGUCUUCAACGUGUUGAGGCCAUACUAGAAAGAACCACGCCCACACCGCUGUAGCUCUAUGGCUAUAUAGACGCAAUAGGGCACUAAGAAUCCACUUGGAAUUAGUAGUUUCGGUUCAUAUCGGCAGGAAUGAGCCAUUCUGUAGUACGUAGUGGCGAGCUUUCAUUUCCGUUCAGUAAGUAGGGGAACGGCCGUAGUAGCUAGCGAAUCCACGUAGUAGUUGUGUUUUGUGUUCUAUCCAUUCUUUGGGUGUGAAAGAAACCAGAAAUGGAAUUGUAAGUAGCUUCAUAUAUAAUAAGAAAGUAAACAAACUAACAAGCAACGGAACUCGCUAACGUGAGGGGUGCUUAUUUCUAUUUUGCUGUUCUUUCAGAGUUUAGGUCCUAUUACUCUGGAGACUCUUAAGCCAUUGAUGUCUGGAAACCUUAUUGUUGGCUUCUGGUCUUUCUAAAGAAGGCAAGCCUCGUGGUAGUCCCGAGAUUAAGUACUCCCGCAGGCCGAGCCCCCUUCUUCUAUACCGGAAAGCCUCUAACCCUUACCACUGCUUCUUGCUUUUCCAAUCCCUAUUUCUAUUAUAUCUCUAUAUAUAUAUUAUUUCAGAUAGAUUUCUACUUCCUGCCUUUUCCAAUCCCUAUUUUGUCCAUUCUAUUUCUGUAUUAUGAGAGAGGUGAUUGAUAGAUUCUUUCUUUGACCACUGAUAUGCGAAUGAUGCAUAAUUCUUUUCGUUCGCAUCGGAGGAGUUGCAAGCCGAUCUACCUUAUGCUUAUGUCUGGAUAGAGAAUUGGAUUAUGGCUCCGCUUUUCUUGACUAUCCCGCUUUUCAUUACUUUAGCAGGAUAAGAAGCAUUUCGGGAGUCAAUACCUCUCCUCUUCCUAUUCCCGAAGCUAGUAAGAGUAAUAAGGUCCCAACUCAGAGUGUUGUUCUUUUUUAUGAUAUCGAAGCAAUGUCGUAUCCAGCUCCGUUCUAGUAGCGGAAAGAGAGAUCGAGAUGUGAGAUUCCGGGAUGAGUGAAGAACACUAGCAGCUCAGCCGCCCUAACGGAAAAAGGACUUGGAAAAAGUUGCAGCGCCUGACGCUCUUAAUAGCCUAAAGUGAGCUAAAAGCGCUAAAGGAGUUUGGGCUUGCCCUAUGUUUCCAGUUGAUUUCUUAAUUCAAUGCGCUAGCAAGUUCUGUAUUCUGGCCCUAUGAAUAUCUUCUCUUAUUAGAAUGCGCUAGAUCGUACCCAAAGAGCCAAGUAACUACUAAUGACCAACCCACCACUACUAGGCAAAACGGGACCUAAUCAACUUGCCUUAUAAUGCAUUUAUGACUAGAAGAUUUAUGGUCGAAGAAAGGACUUGUACAGGGUUUGAUGCGGGGAAGUGGAGAAUUGCCUGUUCGAGGUAAAGUUUCAAGGAAAGGUGUUGUCGACUCUCAAUCGGGAAUAAGAUAAUAGUACUCGGGCUUGCUUUGAAGGGCAGAAGAAAGUAUAGGCUUAGUUUCUAGGUGUGAGUGAGCGAGAUACUUUUCGUUCCUAUGGUCUACUGCUUUAAGGGGCGAGGGAAAUCGUGAGAGAACAGUCUUCCUUCAUCUGCUGCAAUGAUUCUUUCCUAUGGAUAGAUACCAUCGGUGAACAAAUGAAAUGAUGGAUUUAGCUUAUUGAUUGAGAAUUACCUCUUACAGAUGCACAUAUAAAGGAAGAUAGAUCGCUUAUGUCUAGGUCGCCCCGCUCUCGCUUUGCUCUCCCCUUGACUUCUGUCGUUGGACUACGCGCACAGGAUCGGUUUCAAUAAUGGCUGGAUCAUUCUGCCGCUGAAAGAUCACUUAAUCACACACAAGCAAGAUGAAGUGCUAUUCCACCGGUGAGAAGAGAAGAACUGGUACUUUAUGCGAAUAUUGAAGAAGCGAGAACACACUCGUGAUAAGGGCGGAAUAAGGGUAGCGGUAAGUCUAGACUACUACUUUCAGGGGCCAAAAGCAGGUUCACUCAGGACUACUAUACUACCUUUUGUUUGGGAUUCCACAACUAAUGAAGGGGAGUUCGGUGUCGGAUCGGAGUGGGAAUGGGAAGUAGCUCCCAAGUCCUGUGUUUGGGAGUUAGGUUAGUUGGUAAAGAGAAAAGAUGCUGUUCUAGACUCAACUCGCCCCCCUUCCGGCUUGGCACAGCUGAAAUUCCUUUACUAUAUGAUUUCUUUUCUUUUGCCCACCUCGACUCUUGCAACUAAUACCUCCUCGCCUCUUGCAACUAGCUAAUCUAACCCCUUAACUUUAAGCUCUUGAUGAAGAUACCUCGCAAGUUAAGAUAGUAUGACCUGUGCUCUGAACCAACCCAGUACACUUUCUUUACCACCUCUCCUCUGUAAACUAAUGCCAAACAGGUCACCAACGUAGGUAAGGGCUAAGUAUUUGAUAUAACACUAGCAAACUGACUAUACGGGCCCGAACAGGAUUGAUUGUCUCUCUCGAAGCCAACUACUAGAGCAGCUCUCUCCUCUGUAAACUAUUCAAAGAAUGAGGCUCUGUUACUUGGCCCCUACUAAAUGAUAGAUUCUCUUUAUAUAUGAGAUCUUUAUAUAUGAGAACUUCUUCUAGGAAAAUGGAUAAGUAAGAUCAACUACUAGGUGGGUAAGGCUCGUAAGCUAUGAAAGUCUAGUUAUUGCCCCUGAAAGGAGUAGUCCAAAGAGUAGAGGAAAGUUUACUUCCAGCCUAACUAUUGAACUCAGUAGUCAAAGAACCAAGACACCAAUAUUGGAAGAAAAAACAAUCAAUGAUCAAAACCAGAAAUCAAGAAUAUCAGAAUAAAGAAUUCCACCACAGUAUACACAUAGUAGGGGAAAAUAUAUAUCACUUUAUUAAGGAAACUAGAUUCCACUCAGCGGUGGGUAAGAAUUCUACUCUUAAGUAGGAGCCAAGCAGAUGCAAGCGGUAAGGGAGUUCAUUCAGCAAGUAAGAAGGGCGAGCUACUAUAGAGGAUCCAAUGAAGCAAGUCAGAGUUGCACUCAGUAGUCAAAGCACCCGAAACAAGACUGGAAGUGAAGAAGUUCAGAGCAGAUAUAAUAAGUGGCACAGGAACUAGUUAGAGGCUUUGAAGCGGGAAGAAAAGAAAAGACCCAUACUUAAGGGGGAGCAGCCCUGCCGCGCAACUUACUAUGUUGCUUGGUGGACUUGUUCAUAAGGAGAGGGAACCAUGUUUAUAGCACCGGGUCAACUAGGAGGUCAGUCUUAUUGUUAGGUAUCUUAGUUUAGUUGUUAGUGGUUUCAGUCGAGGUGGGCAAGGUCAGAAACAGAAUCAGGGUAAGGGGAGUCGGAACAAGAUCUGAAGCCGGGUGCUCGAUUUCGUAUGCAAGGAAAGAAAGUCAAUAAUGAGUUCAAAGAGACAGCUCUAAAGUGAAUGGUUAUAGUCUUCAGACCGGGAGUACUGUGGCGUAGUAGUACUGUUGCAUCAGUAGUAGGUAGUAGCCAUAGGAUAGGUAGGCAAGCUAGAACAUCUAUUUCCUCCCCUGGUAAGUACUGUUAGAGUGUUAGUGUAAUCCCGGUAGUCCAGGUAGUACGAGUUGACAGAGGAGACCCCCCUAGCUCCUGUUCGAAAGUGUAGUAGGCCUAUUCGCCAGUGAGAAAGAGAGAAGCAACAGAGAGAAUAGUUAGAAGUUGCCAUAGCUCGUGGAGUCAUAGGUAAUAGUCAGCAUCCCGUAUUGGUUCAACCAGUAAGCAUCUAGUAUUGGUAUGAACUCUAAGGUCUCGAUUCCCCACAUCUAGGUACUCAGUUCAUUCUUUGCCAGUAGUUUAGAGUUGCUAGUUUGAUUCUGAUUAUAUGUAAACUAACCACUCCAGAAAUGAAGUAUGUAGGGUUCAACCUGAAUUCUUCUCCUAGUGAAGUCAACUCUAUUCUCUACCUUUCUUACCUUGAGCAAGUCUAUAAGUAACAAGUACUAUCGGUAUUCAACUCAAACUAACUAACUUGUAAUACUCAUCUAACUCAGGCAAUAGGGUGCUUAAUACUAAGAUAGUAAAUGAAGAGGGGCACUGGUAUCAGGCUUAGAUGCCCUGGGGUUAAGGCUGUUACUGACCGGUUUCAGGCUUAGCCCCUACCUUACACAACUCUAAACUCCCCUCUCUGACAAGGAUAAGAACAAGUAGGAAAUUCCAUAAGCAAUAAGUGGUAUGGUCUGCCCUGUAUUAUAGGAGAAAACGGAAUUAGAAGCUCUCUUAGGUGGACUUCUCCAGCUUCUGUAUCAAAGUAGGAAUUACUGAAUUUCACUAACAACUAGUAAUAAGUCAUUUAAGAAUUCCACAAAUAAGUCACAGAAUUGACCUCCUUCUCGCCAAACUCCCUUUGACAUAGAUGCUUGCCCGGCCUGGCCUCUACUUAGUCAACUCCAUUCUUAUUGUCUGCCUACCUCAACUCAAGCUUUCAUUAUAUAUUAGGCCCGCUCUUGCUUCUGUUGUAACUACUGAUUCUCGGGUUACUCCUGACUCCGCCUUCUCUUGGGAGUCCUGUCUUCAUGGCGGUACAACAGGGCACAGGAAUAGUUGAAAAGACUCUCACUUUAUAUACCGAUCUUUGCUUCACUGGCUUGGGCUUAUACUCCUUACUUCCGUCCUUACUUAUGCGUAUGCGCUUUAGGCUGCUACUGCUUCAUCUAGGUCUACCGCUCCCUGCUGAUAAAGUCAGUCUGUCGUUCCCUUAGCUUGGUCUACCUCUCUUUGUUUUGAGUAUUACUUUCCUUACUAGAAUUCUUUACUUGCAUAUUCAAUCUUUCGGGCAGGAAUCCGACUACUCACCAAUAAGACUUACCCCACUCACCGGGGGAAUACGAAUACUACUAUGGAAUACAGUAACCUAUGGAAAUACUAAUACCACCAAUAAGAGUUGAGCUUGGAACUAAGACUUGCACUAUUGAUCCGGGGAUCCUUACUUAUGAGGUUUAAGACCUUACCCUGUCUUUUAUUCUUUCACUGCAGGAACCAAGGCAGCCCCGUUGUCCACUUCAUUAUUGUAUUGAUAGCGUGAGUAUGCCACUAUAGGAACAUGAUCCGGAUGCCCACUACUGAAAUUGAUAUGUGUUUUUUCAUAUGAUAUUCAAUAGUCGUUUUCGUAUAGUAACUAGGUCGAAAAGGGUGACUUUUUCUUCUCUUUUUGGAGCCAAACAACUUCUCUUUUUCUAUUGGACUGGACGAUAGAGCUCUAGUUCCGGCUUCACUGAAGGAUAGGCGGGCCAGCAAUAUGGGCAAGUAGUUUACCAAGGAUACAAGAUGCCGGGAACCAGUAAUAGAAUAAAAGUAAGUGAAGCAAGAUCCGAGGGUAAUAGGCGAAGGCCGGGAAGGCGAGACAUACAUUCACAUUAUGAGGGCAGCUUUAGCUGCCAGCGAAUCCAAGUAAUUAGUAAAAGACUUUAGUGUGCUAGGGAGGGAAUUCCACUCUUAAGUAAGAUACAUUGGACUGGGAAUUAAUAAUGGAACUAGGACUUCUCAGAACCAGCACCCCAGAAUACAGAAUAUACUUACGCCACUGAUUGAUGAGAAUCGAAACACCCGCCUAGCCUAGCAAGACCAAGAAAGUAGGGUCUAAUUAAGAGUAAGCCUGUUUGACUGCAGCUAUAUUAUAAAAAGCAGUAGAUCAAUUCUCUGUUUCGAGUUAAGGUCUCGCCAGAACCUAGAACUAAAACUACCUGGCAAAGACAACUGCAAUAAAAAACAACAUAUAGUAUAUUUAUGUAGAGUUCUCACUUUAGAUGUGUUCGGCCAGUCAGUAAGUCGCCGUAGAGUAUAAAGGGCCCUUUACUGACUCCAAGGCUACCUUGCCUAUCUAUUACUCUUGGACUUAUUACUUCGAUUCUUCUAACACCAACUAUAGGCCUUCUCCCCUUCCAGUACUUGCAUUAUUUAUUGAUAGCUCUAGUCUGCUACUCCUCUGUCCCAGGCUUGCCUUACUUUAUCUAAGACUUACUUGUUUGACUCUAUUACUUCACUCAAUAAUCAUUGUUAGUCGAGUGGUUGUUUGGCGUUUAGUAGUGACUUUACCUGUCCUCGAUUCGUUAUUUUGUUUCCAAGGCUCUAACCAAUACAACUCGGCCUUAUACCCCAAACGGAGAAGCCAACUACAGCUCAUAGGGCUUUCAACCUCAACUAGGAGCCCUACUACUAAUAUCAGACCGGAGCUACUGGUUCUAAUACAAUAUCUGGGAAUAAAUCAACUUUCAGCAAUACUACUCGGACCUUCCCUAAAAUCUGACUUGCAAACUUCGACUCCGCUCUUGCAUUCUAUGAUUGUAGCUUCAAUCUCCUUUGCGCGGAUUGCUAGGAACUACUGGCCCGGGUAUGACAUGACUUUCUCUUUAUAGAAUAUAUAGGAUUGAACUGGCGCUAACAGGACAAUAACUAGAACCUGGGACCUCCUAGUAAGCAGGAACCAAACAACUAUACCGGAGAAUUUCGCUAAUAAGUAUAGGAUCUAAGUGGAAACAAAGGUGCUACUUAUACUUAAAUGAACAACUGGGGAUCGAACACUGCCUAGCAAGACUCUCACUAUUGCUUUUAGAGUACAACCACUAGCGAUAAGAGUUGCCCCCACUAAUUAGACUCCUUUAUCCUGUUAUGUUGCUAGUACCCUUCAUUCUAUAUUCGUAGCUUCAAACUUCUACUAGUAGCUCUUGACCUGGCAUUCCUUGGUUCUUAUGCUCCUCGGUGAAACCAUUGCUUCCGUGUUUUAGUAUGUAUUACUUCCCUUUCUUUCGUUCUGAAACUCAAUACUUGCAUCCUAUCUCCUAUGUUCGAUUGUCGGCCUACUACCAACUUACUCCUAUCGGAAUCAAACUAGGAAAUCCACUCGGUGAGCUCAACCCGGGCCAAGCAAAUAAUACUAAAUGAACUAAACUCAAAAAGGGGCCAGAAUAUUAAUGACACUACAAACAAGACUCUCGCAGCUGGCUUCCACGAAGAAAUAAAAGAAUACAGAAUUGGCUACUUAUUCCACAUGGCAUAUUUCCUAGAUACAAUACAGAGUAGCGGUAUUUACUUAAGCCUUCCUUUCAGUCCCUUGUGCCCGAGUUGGUGUCUAGCACCUUUCCUAAUAAUAAUGAAUUGGAUCACUGCUCCCUUGUCUAUGUGCCUCACGCUACUUACGGAAAUUAUGUAUUAUCACUUUUGCUCUUCUACUACUAGCUACCAGAUUGAACCGUGCCUAACAGACACCAGUGUGCUCUCUAAGACGACUUUCGCCCCGGCUAAUCAGAACAACGUCAAUUGUCAUAGGGAAUAGGAACAGUUACAACGAGACUUUACUGGCGGAUACAGAAUUCUACUUGUAACUAUAGGGCUGAUACUGCCGAUAGAAAGAUGGAAAAAGGAAAACAGGAAUCCAAUUGACUACUCCGCCAACUCACUCUUACUUUAAUGCCUAUAAGCCUGGCGCGCUACUGACUUCGAAGCUGACCUUAACGAACCAUACCCAUAAACUCCAUUCUGUAUUUCAAGAUUCAGUAUUACAGGACCCCUGGCACACCCUUUGACUAAUGAAUUGGAUUUUUGCUUUCCAACUGCCAACUAAUGGUUUCUCGUUCUUGAGCUACCGGCUUGGAUUCUGUAACUGGAAUACUGGGUAUUGUAUUUCACUAUUACAAAGUAGAACUGAGCUACUACUGAUUAGACUGCUCCACCACUAUAUCAAUGUUUAAACACAUUAUUAUUAAGUCAAUGAAAUAAGGCAUUGAAGAAAUCCAAUAUAGAUUCAAGUAAGUAAGGGAAGGCUAACUGGCAGAAGGGGCAGACGCAGACUCGGAUAAUAUGCAAUAAGUAUGGCAUGUCGGGGGGAGACAUUAAUAAGGCUUGGGCUACUCAGCGCCAUUCUUAGAUUGGUGAAUUGACUUCUGUAAGUCAGGUUUUGUUCCAUAGUAAGUUGAAUCUCUUAGAGCGCUGUUCUACUCUUUGACUACUCGGUUUCAUUAGAACUUUACUACUUGAAAGAGAUAUUCUAUGGUGGAUUUACAACUUUACAGAAAUAGGCAUAGGUGGGCGAGAAAGAGUUCCUACUCUAGUUCUGGUUCGAGUUAUCUUCUUAUAGUGGGUAGUGGAAUUUCUAUUGGGUAGUUUCAUAGUAUUCUUUGCUUGUAUAGUAGUUACUCGUCGUCUUGGUGGUCUUAUUUUGACUAGUUGAAAUACCGGGUUAGAGUUAAAGCUAUUAGGCUACGUUCUUUUACUGCCUUCCUUGAUUCUAAGUUAGAGUUAAGGUCCCAUCCGUACUAGCCAGCAGCUGACGCUGCCCUCUCCUUAUUAAGAGCAUAGUUCUCUAGGCGCCGCCGCUUUGUAAUUCCUUAUUUGAAGACCGGAUCAGCUGUUAAAGAACGAAAGCAAAGAGAUAUGGAUGUCGUGUCCGAGUAGUUGGAAUCAAAGUAAAGGUAGCUAGACUUAAAGCAAGUAAGGAAAGGCUCACUUCUGACCUGAACUAAGUAAUGUUAUGUUAGUCGCAGUUGGAUUCCUGCUUGAUAGAUUCGGUCUUGGAAGUAAGUGCGAAAGCCUGUUAGAGUAGCUUGCCUCUUGUUGUCAGUAGAUUGAUUCCUCAUUAAUAGAGAGAUUACCCACCUAGGAGAGAAGCCUUGUAAGCACUAGUAGAAUUCCCUAUAUGGAGUUAUCGUAGUAUAAGCCUAUGAGCCCGACACCCAUUCUGACCUUCCCUGCCUGAAAUCUAGAACUAUCCAUUUGCAAACUGACAUUGCUUGAUCUUAUUCUGACUAUCCGAUAUCCGAUUCUGACUCGCUAGGUUGAGUAUCCUUCCUGGGCUAUCAACAACAUAAUUGGAAGAAAACCACCACCAACAGGACUUCCGCUCAUACUACUUUGAUUUAUACCUGGGCCAGCAAUACCUCAAUUCUUGACUACUCUCUUAGGAAACCAGUUGUUUGUCUCGUCUUCUCAUUCUUUAGUUAAUGAUCGAUCCGUUUUACUUACUUCAAAGCUAAGCUGGCUUUCCUUUAUUUACUCCGAUACUAGUACCGAUUAGACUUUCGCUAUUGAUCUCAAAGCUUGCUCCACUGGCUAUGUGCCUCCCCUUCCCUUCCCAAACUCUGACUCCUAUGACCUUCAAUACCUGUGUUAGAGCAUCAGCCUGUAGCAACUGCCUAAAAGUCUGGAAGUUAGUCCCUUCCUACUAGCUCCCUAGGCGCUCUGACUUGAACUCCCUUCUUGCUGUACAUGCUUUCAAUCUUAUAUUCCUUUCUCUUGGCCUGUGACUCAUACCUUGUUCUCCGCCUAUGAAGCCUUACCUCAGCUAUUUAUCUACUGAAUCGGAUCCAGCUUAACACUAUCCUUCUGUGCUUCCAUUCCCGGGCUUCCACCUGUCACCUGUCAUUCUUUAUUCACUCAUUAGGGCUUAGACCUAGGCCUGUCCUGUUAUUCCUAUACUAUAUAAAUAAGUAAAAGAGUGAACCUACCUCUCGCCCACCUACGCACCCCUCCCUAUGAAAAGUAGGAAAUACACCUAUACGCCUAUGCCCCACCAACGAAUGAAACAAAGAAGUCAGACACUCCCCACCCACUAACUCGGGCUAACACACCGCUAACCGACUUGAACUAGUGGGCAAGCAACGUACAAUCAACGUACAACUAAGUAAGAGCCAAAACAAGUAACAACUAGUCAAGCACGGAACGAGACCAACCCUACUCUACUAUAUUGCAUUGCGUGUAUCAAGGGUAGAGGUUUGAUAUUCUAAAUCAGAAUGAAAUCAAUUACUUUAGAGUUAAUCCUAUGUGUUUAGCCUGGAAAUGCAUCUAGAAAUGUAUAAGUAGAAGAUCGAAGCGGAAACAUCAGAAGUUCACUCAGAAGUAAGGAUACCUCUGUCUAAGUAGACCAAUAAUAAUAUAGCGUACACAUAAUCAGAAUUGAGGCUUAACUACUUAACUUAGGGCCGAUGUAAUUGAGCCAACACCAAUGAGACUAUAGCCCAGAACUUGUACUUCCCUUACUGCCAUAUAAAGCGGCCCUGCUCCACGCAAGAUAAGGCUAACUGCCCUCACCUUAAAACUGCAUUUCAUCUUCGAUUCUUAUAAUGUAAACAAAACUCUGGUCUAUCAGACUCACUACCUAUUCACUAAGUCUCCCUUUUCUAUAUCUCCUUCUGUUACGGGACCCACCUAGUGCAUCUAACAAUAGAUUAUAGCUCUACCCUUACUUGCUAGAGAACUCAGCUUACUACUAAAGGAAUGACUUCUAUUUAUAAGAGAACAACUUGAAAGUCAUAUUGACUUGACCACCAACAAGACUGACUUUACUAGCGGGUAAAUCCACUGCUGCUAACAGGGCUUUUGUUAACUGCUAUCAGAGUACUACGACUACCAAUACUGGAACUGGAACCGGGAAUCCAACACCCCAGUCUAAUACCUGGAACAAUAAAGAAAGAAAUCCAUUAGUGCUUCUCAGAACGUAGCUACUGCCUAUGAAAGAAAGCCUACUGCCACUAAAGAGCUUGAAGUCCUUGGCCACCUUCUAUGGUUCUUCAACUAACUAAAAACCAAGAAAAGAACAAAGAAAUUGUACUCGGGGAGAUGUAUAGAGACUACUCCAGCCGGUAUAUAGGGCAAUACUCACUACCAAGAGCAAACAAAGCUUUAAAGCAGUAAUAGCUUGCAAGGUAGACAGGAGCUGCAUCGCAGUACACGAGUACAUACACAUUAACGCUCACGGGGGUGUAGAACAAAUGUGCUCCAACCAUCUUGCAGAGGGGGAAGUCGCUCAUACCGAGGGAGAUAGCCUAUCACUCUUAGAAUUCGCCUACGUACCUCUAAUAAGCACCAAACGGAUGAAACUCAACCUAACCUAGCGCUUCUAAGCCAACAACAAGAACAG
rnacentral:lncRNA from 1 species